AUUGAACGCUGGCGGCAGGCCUAACACAUGCAAGUCGAGCGGAUGAAGGGAGCUUGCUCCUGGAUUCAGCGGCGGACGGGUGAGUAAUGCCUAGGAAUCUGCCUGGUAGUGGGGGAUAACGUCCGGAAGCGGGCGCUAAUACCGCAUACGUCCUGAGGGAGAAAGUGGGGGAUCUUCGGACCUCACGCUAUCAGAUGAGCCUAGGUCGGAUUAGCUAGUUGGUGGGGUAAAGGCCUACCAAGGCGACGAUCCGUAACUGGUCUGAGAGGAUGAUCAGUCACACUGGAACUGAGACACGGUCCAGACUCCUACGGGAGGUAGCAGUGGGGAAUAUUGGACAAUGGGCGAAAGCCUGAUCCAGCCAUGCCGCGUGUGUGAAGAAGGUCUUCGGAUUGUAAAGCACUUUAAGUUGGGAGGAAGGGCAGUAAGUUAAUACCUUGCUGUUUUGACGUUACCAACAGAAUAAGCACCGGCUAACUUCGUG
rnacentral:rRNA from 1 species